GCGGUGACUCCUAUAGAGAGUCAAACAGCUGUCGUCUUUGUGAGCACUUUAUCAGCUGGCACUGAUGCAUGAAGAAGAACAGGCUGACAGCUCCUACAUCUGCCUCACUUUUCCUCAUCUGUUUUGCUGUUGAGGAUUUGAAUCUAGUUGACCUGUGUAGGUUGGGAAUCUGUGCCACUGCUGCACUUGAAAUUCAAGUGGUUUGGCAGAGACCUCAGAAGAGCCCGGCUGAAAUGACUCGCUCUUAAAGGAAGGCUUCAAAUGUUGCAGUGCGUUAUGGGCCUUGCAAUAUGAAUAAAGAAAUGUUCCAGGUCAGGUAUAUGAAAUGGAAGGUCACAGGUGGCCCCGCCCCUCAAGCUUCUUCAUAACUUCAAGCAAACAGCGGUUAUUCAGCCAUGUUGCAGCCUCUAAAAUAUCCAAGCUGUAGUCAUGGAGACGUGUUUGCAUGUCGCACCGAUGAUCAUGAAUAAGUGGGAGUGUAGCCGAGCGAUUGCCACAGCAGGGAUGAGACGUAUCUGUUGCUAACUUCUCCGUUGUCACCACUGAGAGUGUGUCGCAUGUUAUUAUGCAUGGAAAUUAACUCUGCCUCUUUCUGAGCGAUAGGUACCAAAACAUCAGUGAUGCCUUCAUUGAUUCGCAUGUGGAGAGAGACUCAUGCUUAAGGCUGCCAGUUAUUUGACUGCUGAAGACAUGAGCCAGCGCGUCAACCAAAAAUGGUGUGCUGCUACUGCCACCUGCUGGCGCUUAUGGAGUGGAAGACCUGAAGUCUUGCUGCCGUCCAGAUCUCAACGAAGAACGCAUUCCCCAAGCUUCCGGAGCUGGAAGAGUGAGUCACGCCAGGCUGAAUAUUCAAAAGGGUCCGGGCAAGUCAAAGGUAUGAAUCACAGCUUCCUGCUGUUGUUGGGGCUUGUUGGCACUUUGGGCAGCACUAAAGACACUGAGGUGAAUCACAGGUCAGAAAGAAAAUGAGGCCGGUUACACUUCACAUGAAGGAACAUAUAUUACCGUAUGUGAACACUUGCAUAUAGCCAUAUGUCUAUUAGCAGCAUGUUAGCCACUUAUCUAUUUAAGUUUAAAUUGUUUAUUAUUGUUCGUCUGUGGUCUUCAGUCUGAAGUGUAACCACCUUUUUCCCUUGCUGUCCUUGCUUAAAUGAACUCUAUUACAGAAUAGAUGAUCUGCAGCGGAAUUUUCCACAAUUUUUACUUUAACUUUAACAUAAUUAUUGGCCAUAAAAUAAAAUAGUUUAAUGUCAGUGUGGAAGAAAAGGUUGCAUUAAUGGCUGUGAUGGCUGUACAGCUCUACCACUACGCAACUGAGAUCUUGGUCAUCAUAUAUGAAAGGACUGGGUGAGAAACUUUAUUCAUUCUUGGCUCACCAUAUUAGUAAUUUAUUAUUCGUAUUUUUUUUUUUUUAAGGAAUGCCUCAUUCGGAAUGCUCUAAUUGUAUGGGUGACUUCAAAGGACGAGCCAGUGGAAACCAGCCUUCUCCACUCUCCCCCAUUGGGCCCCAAGUGUCCAUGGUGUUCUGGGAUCCUGCUGCAGCUCAUGUGGUGGACAUCAAAAGUAAAGUCCUCAAAGGUUUGCUGGAGCCGAUCCCAAAUCCAAAGUCAGAUGGACAGUUGGUGAUGAACAUGGGAGGAAACCGGAGUGCCUGAGGAAAGCCACGCCAGGACAGGGAGUAAAGCAAAACUCCACUCAGCUUUGAAGAUAAUUGAUGAGCGCUAUGCGUCAUUUAGAUCUGUUGUUUCAUUUAAGUUUUUUUUUAUGUCAGUCAAACUCGUAAGCGUUUCUCAUCUUUGUACUUGACAAUCUCUUUCUCAUCCCACGCACCACGACACGCAGCUUAAUUGCUUGUUUAACUGUAAAACGGUCUUUCAUUCUUGAGUCAUAAAUCCGAGGAGCAGCGUGGUGGUUUCCCCCAGUUUUCCCACGCAGCACGGCUCUUUCAAAGUCAAGACUCCUUAACAGCGGGUCGUGUUAAGUCCUUCCUGAUCUGCAAGA